UCCUCGGUAGUGUGAUGGAUCAACGCGACAGACCAGAUAUCUAUUAGUGCGGGUUCGAGUCCCGCCUGAGGUU
rnacentral:tRNA from 1 species